UACGUAGGGACCAAGCGUUGUUCGGAUUUACUGGGCGUAAAGAGCGCGCAGGCGGCUGGUCAAGUCCGAUGUGAAAUCUCCCGGCUCAACUGGGAAACUGCAUCGGAAACUGAUCGGCUUGAAGAUGGGAGAGGGUAGUGGAAUUCCCGGUGUAGUGGUGAAAUGCGUAGAUAUCGGGAGGAACACCAGUGGCGAAGGCGACUACCUGGCCCAUUCUUGACGCUGAGGCGCGAAAGCUAGGGGAGCGAACGGG
rnacentral:rRNA from 1 species